rnacentral:rRNA from 1 species
UGCAAGUCGACCGGGAAUCUUCGGAUUCUAGUGGCGGACGGGUGAGUAACGCGUAAGAAUCUAACUUCAGGACGGGGACAACAGUUGGAAACGACUGCUAAUACCCGAUGUGCCGAAAGGUGAAACCUAAUUGGCCUGAAGAAGAGCUUGCGUCUGAUUAGCUAGUUGGUGGGGUAAGAGCCUACCAAGGCGACGAUCAGUAGCUGGUCUGAGAGGAUGAGCAGCCACACUGGGACUGAGACACGGCCCAGACUCCUACGGGAGGCAGCAGUGGGGAAUUUUCCGCAAUGGGCGAAAGCCUGACGGAGCAACGCCGCGUGAGGGAGGAAGGUCUUUGGAUUGUAAACCUCUUUUCUCAAGGAAGAAGUUCUGACGGUACUUGAGGAAUCAGCCUCGGCUAACUCCGUGCCAGCAGGCGCGGUAAUACGGGGGAGGCAAGCGUUAUCCGGAAUUAUUGGGCGUAAAGCGUCCGCAGGUGGUCAGCCAAGUCUGCCGUCAAAUCAGGUUGCUUAACGACCUAAAGGCGGUGGAAACUGGCAGACUAGAGAGCAGUAGGGGUAGCAGGAAUUCCCAGUGUAGCGGUGAAAUGCGUAGAGAUUGGGAAGAACAUCGGUGGCGAAAGCGUGCUACUGGGCUGUAUCUGACACUCAGGGACGAAAGCUAGGGGAGCGAAAGGGAUUAGAUACCCCUGUAGUCCUAG